rnacentral:rRNA from 1 species
AGCCUAACCCUAGCCCGGCCACCCCAACAACGGAAACAACUAAAAACUCACUACACCCCAAAACCAAAACAUUUCUUAAGCCCAGUAUAGGUGAUAGAAAAGUAUUUAUUUCCGGCGCGAUAGAAGCCUGUACCGCAAGGGAAAGGUGAAAUAAAAAUGAAAAAACAAAGCAAUAAGUAGCAAAGAUCAACUCUUGUACCUCUUGCAUCAUGAUUUAGUAAGAACAACCGAGCAAAGUGAACUUAAGUUCGCCCUCCCGAAACCCAAGCGAGCUACCUGCGAGCAGCUAUUUUCUUGAGCUAACCCGUCUCUGUUGCAAAAGAGUGGGAUGACUCGUCGGUAGAGGUGAAAAGCCAACCGAGCUGGGUGAUAGCUGGUUGCCUGCGAAAUGAAUCUAAGUUCAACCUUAAUCCCUCCGCACGGAUAUUCAUCCUAACCCCCCAUGUAGUGAAUUAAGAGCAAUUCAAAGGGGGUACAGCCCCUUUAAAAAAGAACACAUCCUCUUUUAGUGGAUAAGUGCUUGCUUUCCUAACCCCUUGUAGGCCUUUAAGCAGCCAUCAGUAAAGAAUGCGUCAAAGCUCCCUAUGAAAAGAUAUAUAAACAACACGACUCCCUUCCCACUAGCAGGCUAGCCUAUAACAAUAGAAGAAUUAAUGCUAAAAUGAGUAACUAGGGAAACCCUCUCAAGCGCAAACUUACAUUCCUUCUAAUUAUUAACAAACUCUAACUAGAUACUUUAACUACAACAAGACUUAGGUAUCAAUUUAUCUUGUUAACCCAACCCAGGAGCGCCCAUUAGAAAGAUUAAUACCUGUAAAAGGAACUAGGCAAUCCCAAGGCCCGACUGUUUACCAAAAACAUAGCCUUCAGCAAACCAAGUAUUGAAGGUGAUGCCUGCCCAGUGACAUUACGUUCAACGGCCGCGGUAUCCUAACCGUGCAAAGGUAGCGCAAUCAAUUGUCUCAUAAAUCGAGACACGUAUGAAUGGCUAAACGAGGUCUUAACUGUCUCUUACGGGUAAUCAGUGAAAUUGAUCUCCCUGUGCAAAAGCAGGGAUAAGCACAUAAGACGAGAAGACCCUGUGGAACUUAAAAAUCAACGGCCACUGCACACAUACCCAAACCCCUGUUAGGCAUAUUCCAUUCCCCUCACUGGCUCGUAUUUUUCGGUUGGGGCGACCUUGGAGAAAAACAAACCCUCCAAAAAUAAGACUUCCCCUCUUGACCAAGAGCAACACCUCAACGUACUAAUAGUAACCAGACCCAAUAUAAUUGACUAAUGAACCAAGCUACCCCAGGGAUAACAGCGCAAUCCCCUCCAAGAGCCCCUAUCGACGAGGGGGUUUACGACCUCGAUGUUGGAUCAGGACAUCCUAAUGGUGCAGCCGCUAUUAAGGGUUCGUUUGUUCAACGAUUAAUAGUCCUACGUGAUCUGAGUUCAGACCGGAGCAAUCCAGGUCGGUUUCUAUCUAUGAUGAACUUGUCCUAGUACGAAAGGACCGGAGAAGUGGGGCCCAUACUCCAAGCACGCCCUACCUACAAGCAAUGAACCCAACUAAAUUGCUAAAAACUCACCCACACAAAUCCAUCCUAGAAAAGGAUAG